rnacentral:rRNA from 1 species
UUGAUCCUGGCUCAGAACGAACGCUGGCGGCGUGGAUAAGACAUGCAAGUCGAGCGGGAUCUCUUUUGGUAGCAAUACCGAAGGAAGUCUAGCGGCGAACGGGUGCUUAACACGUGGGCAACCUGCCAAGAAGUGGGGGAUAGCUCGCCGAAAGGCGAAUUAAUACCGCAUGUGAUUAGAGAGGACAUCCUUUCGAAAUUAAAGUCGGGGCAACCUGACGCUUUUUGUGGGGCCCGCGGCCUAUCAGCUAGUUGGUGAGGUAACGGCCCACCAAGGCUUUGACGGGUAGCUGGUCUGAAAGGAAUACAACCGCCCCCCCACUUUAGGAGGGGGGAGGCAGUAUUAGGAAGGCACAAUCAACACAAUCCUAGACAAAGCGAUAACUAAAGAAUAAUGAUAGUACGUCGCAAGGAGGAGGGGUGAGGAACAAACAGUCAUAGCAGAGCCGCAAGGGAGCGGGGCGCGCAGC